AUUGAACGCUGGCGGUAUGCCUUACACAUGCAAGUCGAACGGUAGAGGGGCAACCCUUGAGAGUGGCGAACGGGUGAGUAAUACAUCGGAACGUGCCCAGUCGUGGGGGAUAACGUAGCGAAAGCUACGCUAAUACCGCAUACGACCUGAGGGUGAAAGCGGGGGAUCGCAAGACCUCGCGCGAUUGGAGCGGCCGAUGGCAGAUUAGCUAGUUGGUGGGGUAAAGGCCUACCAAGGCAACGAUCUGUAGUUGGUCUGAGAGGACGACCAGCCACACUGGGACUGAGACACGGCCCAGACUCCUACGGGAGGCAGCAGUGGGGAAUUUUGGACAAUGGGCGCAAGCCUGAUCCAGCAAUGCCGCGUGCAGGAAGAAGGCCUUCGGGUUGUAAACUGCUUUUGUCAGGGAAGAAAUCUUCUGGGCUAAUACCCCGGGAGGAUGACGGUACCUGAAGAAUAAGCACCGGCUAACUACGUGCCAGCCGCCGCCGUAAGAC
rnacentral:rRNA from 1 species